rnacentral:rRNA from 1 species
CCUACGGGUGGCAGCAGUGAGGAAUAUUGGUCAAUGGUCGAGAGUCUGAACCAGCCAAGUAGCGUGAAGGAGGAAUGUACUGUGGAUUGUAAACCUCUUUUGUAAGGGAAUAAAACGAGGGACGUGUGCCUGUAUGAAUGUACUUUAUGAAAAAGGAUCGGCUAACUCCGUGCCAGCAGCCGCGGUAAUACGGAGGAUUCGAGCGUUAUCCGGAUUUAUUGGGUUUAAAGGGAGCGUAGAUGGUUUGUUAAGUCAGUUGUGAAAGUUUGCGGCUCAACCGUAAAAUUGCAAUUGAUACUGGCAGUCUUGAGUAGAGGUGAGGUAAGCGGAAUUCGUGGUGUAGCGGUGAAAUGCUUAGAUAUCACGAAGAACUCCGAUUGCGAAGGCAGCUUACUAGACUGUGACUGACAUUGAGGCACGAAAGUGUGGGUAUCGAACAGGAUUAGAUACCCGGGUAGUC